rnacentral:rRNA from 1 species
CCGGGAUGAGUAAAGCGGCGGACGGGUGAGUAACACGUGAGUUACCACCUUUUAGUGAAGAAUAACUUCGAGAAAUCGAAGCUAAUGCUGCAUAAUUCUUUCGAGACAAAGGUGGCUUUAGCUACCGCUAAAAGAUGGGCUUGCGGACUAUUAGCUAGUUGGUGAGGUAAUGGCCCACCAAGGCUUUGAUGGUUAACCGGCCUGAGAGGGUGUACGGUCACAUUGGAACUGAGAUACGGUCCAG